rnacentral:pre_miRNA from 1 species
GGGGGGAGGCCGGAUCCUGGGCUGUGUCCCGGCGCCCUGGGCUCCGGAGCCUGCGCUGUUGGAUUCGCGCUCCCGGGCCGCAGCCCCCU